CUUUUCCCAUCCAAGGUGGCUGAGAGCAUUAGGCAGCUAAGCACUGCAGAUCUUCUCACGAAAGCUACUUAUUUUAGUAUUGUCCUUUAGAGAGUGGAUUGUGCCAUACUACUGCUGUCUUGUCUUGUGCUGUUUUGUUUUGUUUUGUUGUGUCUUGUUGUGGGCUGUUGUCAUCUUACAGACGUUUAUGGACUGGCCUCGACUGACUCCUGGUCUUAUGGUCUUUUACUCUGAAUUGUUUUAUACAUGUUCUGCCCUCUAUUGUUGCUUUAUUGGGUUUCUUUGGCUGGUGCAUUUCUCAGUUUUCCCACUAGUGGGCAGUAUUACCCCUUGAGUUUGUGGCUUCUUGUUUAGUUAGUUUGUGUGCGCUACACUGCCCCCUUUGGUGAUGUGUUAUAAGCAGCAGAAAAAGUUCACGCAGGCAGUGUGAGAAAAUGCCUGGACGAGAAAACAAGCUGCACAACUUUAAGCCCAGUUUACAUCGCUGGGGAGUUUGUUGAGCCAUAAUCUUGGAGGUGCGGCCGCUUCUUGAGGGGCUAGGCACGUGAGGUGGAAUCCCCUCCCCGGUGCAUGAGAGUGUACACACCGGGCAUAGGUAGACUGCACCAUUUAGAUUUCAGUGUGAGUGACAGUGAGGUUUGCAGUGGAACUACACGGGUGAGCAAUUGGUGGCACCCUUGGGCACUCCUCUCUGUAGGUUGCCUCCUCAACUGGCCGGUCUCCACCAUUUUGUUUAGUUAUUUUUAUCAAGCUGUGAUUGUUCUAGGGUAGUAUCGUGGUAGCGAGCCUGUUCAUUUUAAUCAUUGUUUGUUAAUAAAGUGUUUUAAUUAACUGUCUUGCCGUCUCAGCCCUGCUACCUUAAGAACUUUUCUGAUUUUACAGUUCUAUGCUUUUA